AUUGAACGCUGGCGGCAGGCCUAACGCAUGCAAGUCGAGCGGAUGGAGGGAGCUUGCUCCUGGAUUCAGCGGCGGACGGGUGAGUAAUGCCUAGGAAUCUGCCUGGUAGUGGGGGAUAACGUCCGGAAACGGGCGCUAAUACCGCAUACGUCCUGAGGGAGAAAGUGGGGGAUCUUCGGACCUCACGCUAUCAGAUGAGCCUAGGUCGGAUUAGCUAGUUGGUGGGGUAAAGGCCUACCAAGGCGACGAUCCGUAACUGGUCUGAGAGGAUGAUCAGUCACACUGGAACUGAGACACGGUCCAGACUCCUACGGGAGGCAGCAGUGGGGAAUAUUGGACAAUGGGCGAAAGCCUGAUCCAGCCAUGCCGCGUGUGUGAAGAAGGUCUUCGGAUUGUAAAGCACUUUAAGUUGGGAGGAAGGGCAGUAAGUUAAUACCUUGCUGUUUUGACGUUACCAACAGAAUAAGCACCGGCUAACUUCGUG
rnacentral:rRNA from 1 species